GUGGGGAAUUUUGGACAAUGGGCGCAAGCCUGAUCCAGCAAUGCCGCGUGCAGGAAGAAGGCCUUCGGGUUGUAAACUGCUUUUGUACGGAACGAAACGGUCCGGGUUAAUACCCUGGGCUAAUGACGGUACCGUAAGAAUAAGCACCGGCUAACUACGUGCCAGCAGCCGCGGUAAUACGUAGGGUGCAAGCGUUAAUCGGAAUUACUGGGCGUAAAGCUUGCGCAGGCGGUUUUGUAAGACAGGCGUGAAAUCCCCGGGCUCAACCUGGGAAUUGCGCUUGUGACUGCAAGGCUGGAGUGCGGCAGAGGGGGAUGGAAUUCCGCGUGUAGCAGUGAAAUGCGUAGAUAUGCGGAGGAACACCGAUGGCGAAGGCAAUCCCCUGGGCCUGCACUGACGCUCAUGCACGAAAGCGUGGGGAGCAAACAGGAUUAGAAACCCCUGUAGUCC
rnacentral:rRNA from 1 species